rnacentral:rRNA from 1 species
CACGUAGGGCGCAAGCGUUGUCCGGAAUUAUUGGGCGUAAAGAGCUCGUAGGCGGCUUGUCACGUCGGGUGUGAAAGCCCGGGGCUUAACCCCGGGUCUGCAUUCGAUACGGGCUAGCUAGAGUGUGGUAGGGGAGACCGGAAUUCCUGGUGUAGCGGUGAAAUGCGCAGAUAUCAGGAGGAACACCGGUGGCGAAGGCGGAUCUCUGGGCCAUUACUGACGCUGAGGAGCGAAAGCGUGGGGAGCGAACAGG